UACGUAGGUGGCAAGCGUUGUCCGGAUUUACUGGGCGUAAAGCGCACGUAGGCGGCAUUGCAAGUCGGAUGUGAAAUCCCUCGGCUUAACCAAGGAAGUGCAUCCGAAACUGCAGUGCUUGAGUACUUAAGAGGAUCGCGGAAUUCCCGGUGUAGAGGUGAAAUUCGUAGAUAUCGGGAGGAACACCAGUGGCGAAGGCGGCGAUCUGGGAAGAUACUGACGCUGAGGUGCGAAAGCGUGGGGAGCAAACGGG
rnacentral:rRNA from 1 species